AACACAUGCAAGUCGAACGAGAUUAAGAGGCUUGCUUCUUAUGAAAGUGGCGCACGGGUGCGUAACGCGUAUGCAACCUACCUUAAUCAGGGGGAUAGCCCGAAGAAAUUCGGAUUAAGACCGCAUAAAAACACAGGAUAGCAUUAUCCAAUGUUCAAAUAUUUAUAGGAUUAAGAUGGGCAUGCGUGUCAUUAGCUAGUUGGCGGGGUAACGGCCCACCAAGGCGACGAUGACUAGGGGAUCUGAGAGGAUGACCCCCCACACUGGUACUGAGACACGGACCAGACUC
rnacentral:rRNA from 1 species